GACGAACGCUGGCGGCGUGCUUAACACAUGCAAGUCGAACGGAAAGGCCCUGCUUUUGUGGGGUGCUCGAGUGGCGAACGGGUGAGUAACACGUGAGUAACCUGCCCUUGACUUUGGGAUAACUUCAGGAAACUGGGGCUAAUACCGGAUAGGAGCUCCUGCUGCAUGGUGGGGGUUGGAAAGUUUCGGCGGUUGGGGAUGGACUCGCGGCUUAUCAGCUUGUUGGUGGGGUAGUGGCUUACCAAGGCUUUGACGGGUAGCCGGCCUGGGAGGGUGACCGGCGACAUUGGGACUGAGAUACGGCGCAGACGGCUACGUGAGGCAGCGGGGGGGAAUAUUACGCAACGAGCGGGAGCGAGUGACAGCAGCGUCGGGUUCGUGAUGACGGCUUACGGGGGAUGAACCGCUUUCGACGGAAACGAGGCGUGAGUGACGGUAACGAGUAAGAAAGCACCGGCUAACUACGUG
rnacentral:rRNA from 1 species